CUACGGGACGCAGCAGGCGCGAAACCUUUACAAUGCACGAAAGUGUGAUAAGGGAAUCCUAAGUGCUUUGCUUUUAGCAAAGCUUUUGCCAAGAGCAAAAAUCUUGGCGAAUAAGUGGUGGGUAAUACCUGUGCCAGCCGCCGCGGUAACCCAGGAACCACAAGUGGCAACCGCUUUUAUUGGGCCUAAAGCGUCCGUAGCCGGUUCAGCAAAUUUCCUGUGAAAUCGUUGGGCUCAACCUAACGUCGUGCAGGAAAGACUACUGGACUAGGGACCGGGAGGCGUCAGAGGUAUUCCUGAGGGAGCGGUAAAUGCUAUAAUCUCAGGAGGACCCCCAGUGGCGAAGGCGUCUGACGAGAACGGAUCCGACGGUGAGGGACGAAAGCUAGGGGAGCAAACCGGAUUAGAUACCCUAGUAGUC
rnacentral:rRNA from 1 species